CCCUAGUUAUUUGUUAUGUUUCUUUGUCUUGAAAUGCCGAACGACUUUACUUGUUAAGGGGAGAGUGUUGGUAUGACUGUACAGUAUAUUCGUAUUCAACAUACUUAUUUAAUAUAUGCACCAUUUGUACCCUUUUAUAGUUAACCCUCAGAUGUAUAAUGGCUUCCCUUACACAUGCCCUGGGAGACCGACAGACCUACCAAAACAAGACAGGCAAGCAAGGAGACCGGCAGACCCACCAAAACAAGACAGGCAAGCAUGUAAGUUUACUGAUAUUUUUCUUUGUGAUAUAAGUUAACACAUUGCGCCCUGAUGCGCCCUGCUUUAUUAUUUUACUCUGUCUAACGCCAGAUGAUUUACUCAUCAAGGGGAGAGCUCUGGUGCUUAAUGGAUUAACUGGCCUAUCUGCCCAUGUGUCUAGUCUAGUUAAUCCAUUGAGUUGCAUUGCACCGAUGUGCCCUGCUUUAUUAUUUUACUCUGUCUACUGCCAGACAAUUUACUUGUCAAGGGGAGAGCUCUGGCAUUUAAUAGGUACAGUAACUUAACUGGCCUAUCUGGCCAUAUGUCUAAUAAUCUAGUUAAUCCAUUCAGUUGCAUUGUGCCAAUGCGCCCAGUGACUGACUGAAAGUCUGAAACAGUACAGGCUUGACUGCAGUCACUGACAAGAAGAAAAUUCAAAUCUCACAAUGUAUAUUAAUUUUACUGUAUAAACCAUAUAAUGUCUAAACCAUUUAUAUAUUUCAUUUAUAUAUUUUUAAACCAUAUAUAUAUUUCUAAACCAUUUAUAAACCAUAUAAUUUCUUUUAUUAGUCCAUGCUGACAGCAAAUGCCUUAACUGAGGUGGAUAGGCCCAAGAAUUUUUCGAAAUUAACUAAGAAUGCAAGAAAAAGAUUCAAUGUGAACUGGAGAAGCAGGAGAACUGUUAAGAGAACACAAACAUACAGUAUUUGUUUUUAAUAUUUUAGUAAUGAUAUUAUAUGCAUUUCUUAAUUUUAAUCUUUGGUCUUGUCCCUACAUGGUGUUACUGGUAACCCACCCCUGAUAUUUUAUUUCUGCAUGCUUUUAGUUGAGUAAUGCAUAUACAGGAUG